UACAGAGGUCUCAAGCGUUGUUCGGAUUCAUUGGGCUUAAAGGGCGCGUAGGCGGGUGCUCAAGUCCGUGGUGAAAUCCUCCGGCUCAACCGGAGAACUGCCUCGGAUACUGGGUGCCUCGAGGGUGGUAGGGGUAUGCGGAACUAUCGGUGGAGCGGUGAAAUGCGUUGAUAUCGAUAGGAACUCCGGUGGCGAAGGCGGCAUACUGGACCACCUCUGACGCUGAGGCGCGAAAGCCAGGGGAGCAAACGGG
rnacentral:rRNA from 1 species